rnacentral:rRNA from 1 species
UACGGGGGGGGCAAGCGUUGUUCGGAAUUACUGGGCGUAAAGGGCUCGUAGGCGGCCAACUAAGUCGGACGUGAAAUCCCCAGGCUCAACCUGGGAACUGCGUCCGAUACUGGAUGGCUUGAAUUCGGGAGAGGGAUGCAGAAUUGCAGGUGUAGCGGUGAAAUGCGUAGAUAUGUGGAGGAACACCGAUGGCGAAGGCAGCCCCCUGGGUCGAUACUGACGCUGAUGCGCGAAAGCGUGGGGAGCAAACAGG